rnacentral:misc_RNA from 1 species
GGGAACUUCCACUGGACUCCAGAGGAUGUGGCCAAAUCAAUUGUUUGUAUGUUGAUGUCUGGUCCAUUUCUAACUGGCUAUACUCAGACUAUUAAUGAUUGGUAUGAUAGAGAGAUUGAUGCUAUUAACGAACCUUACCGUCCAAUUCCUUCAGGUGCGAUAUCUGAACAAGAGGUCAUUACUCAAAUAUGGGUGCUUCUUUUAGGAGGCCUUGGGUUAGCUGGUAUUUUAGAUGUUUGGGUAAGUCCUUAAAUCUGCUAAUUAUCUAGUUAUUUAUCUGGAAACGUAUCAAUUCUAUGAUCAUUGUUGUUAUAGGCAGGGCAUGACUUUCCUGUAAUAUUUUACCUUGCACUUGGUGGAUCCUUGCUCUCCUACAUCUACUCAGCUCCACCAUUAAAGCUCAAACAGAACGGAUGGAUUGGAAAUUUUGCUCUAGGAGCAAGUUAUAUCAGCUUGCCUUGGUGGGCCGGUCAAGCUUUGUUCGGGACCCUUACACCUGAUGUAAUUGUACUAACACUAUUGUACAGCAUUGCCGGUCUGGGCAUAGCCAUUGUAAAUGAUUUCAAAAGCAUUGAAGGAGAUAGAGCUAUGGGGCUUCAGUCACUUCCAGUAGCUUUUGGUUCUGAAGCUGCUAAAUGGAUUUGUGUUGGUGCCA